GUCCAUGUUUAAGGAAGCGUUGAAGGUCACGUCACUCAAAGCCAACAUCAGCAGGCAUCCUACCAAGAUAAUCUCUGAAGAGGUCAGAGGCACAAUUAUUACAAUUUAUUGUGGACAGGAAAACACAUGGAUGUUGAAUACCAGUUCCUGUGAAAGAUACUUGGGUUUCGGGAUAACAACAGUCCCAAGUCUUCAGAACAAAUCAACAGGUGCAUACUCUCAAACCACAAAUUCAAUCAAGUAUUUCCUUGCACUUACUUGUUAUGACUUCUUAGUCUCUCCAGUCUGUGACAGUUACUCAUUUUCUCCCUGAUACAAGGACUACAACACUUUGGAAGGUGCUUGUCAGAAAUUUAUUCUCCUUAUAUACAUUCCUACACACAUGUGGAUGCUUUUAUUGAAACCAGUUCAUAGGAAGAAUCAUCAAUGGAUGCUAAAACUAAUUGGUGAAAAUAUAAUGAGAAAAAGGAUAUUUACACAGAUCUUCCCUCACAAGAUAUCAUAACUAAUUAUUGUAGUGGAAAUCUUUGUAUACGCUGCUUCAUUCAAGGGAGUACAAUUGAUAUUAACAGCAAUGGGAUAAACAGACCCCAUGAUGUGAUGCACUGAGGACACAAAAUCCCUUCUGUGAUGCUCCUGCCAAACUCCAUAAGUGUAAUGAUGAGGAAACAACAGGCAAACCCUAACCAAGCGACAUUCUACAAAAUAACAUAUCAGUACCUUCAAAAAUGUCAUCAAGGACAAGGAAAAACUGAGGAAUAGGAAUUGUUCCAGAUUAAAAGUGACUAAAGUGACAUGACAAAUAAAUGCAACUUGUAAUAAAGGUUUGAAUCCCUGGACAAGAAAAGAAGUUUUGUUUUUCCGUAGAAGGAUGUCAAAGGAAAAAUUGACAAAAUUCAAAAUUCAAAUAAAGUCUCUAUGUAAGGACAAAAACUGGGAAUAAUAAUAGUAUCUAUAUCAGUACCAUUGUAAAGAUUAUAUGAUAAAACAUAUUAUCAAUAAGUGUUUGUGUUAACAGGUCAUAUACAUGAUACCCUCAGGGUAAUAUGUCCCAUGGAAUUAAAAAUUUGGGUAACAGAAUCAUAUAUGAUAUAUUACAUAAUAUCUCUCAUGAUUUCUGGGAAGCCCACAUAAAUAUGAGGCAAAUUAGAUUAGCUUUCAUACAAAAUAGAAUAAAGAAUAUAAAUAGCUUCAUAUGAGUUUCAUUUCAGGUGUUAGUGACAAAAAAGAUCUGGUCAGGAGAGGAUUUUACUACCAACUGAAAUUCCACACACAUAUACACACAAUUUCAGUCUUCAGAAAUUUUUGGCACAUGAUUUGUCUAUGAAAGGGGUGAUGAUGAUGAUGAUGAUGAUGAUGAUGAUGGUAAUGAUAAUGAUGACUAUUUGUCCAUAAAAGAUGAUGAUGGGCUGGGCGUGGUGGCUCAUGCUUGUAAUCCCAGCACUUUAGGAGGGCAAGGAGGGCAGAUCACGAGGUCAAGAGAUCGAGACCAUCCUGGCCAACAUGGUGAAACCCCAUCUCCACUAAAAAUACAAAAAUUAGCCGGGUGUGGUGGCGUGCGCCUGUAGUCCCAGCUACUCAGGAGGCUGAGGCAGGAGAAUCGCUUGAACCCAGGAGGCGGAGGUUGCAGUGAGCCGAGAUGGCACCACCGCACUCCAGCCUGAUGACAGAAUGAGACUCUAUCUCAAAAAAAAAAAAAAAAGGUGAUGAUGAUGAUAGUGAUCACCAUCAUUGUCAUCAUCUUAAGCUAGAUCUGAAGGGUCAACAUCAGGUGCUAAGUUUACUCUUGACAAGUGGAAGAGCUAUUUCUUACUUAGACACUUGGAAGCAUUUUGAGCAGUCACCGAUGCACAGAACCCUUCUUUUUGUAUUUUCUUAUCCUGUAGUAAGAUCUCUCAUACGAGGUUAAUAAUUAUUUGUAAUAGAAGCAUCUUUUAUUACAGAUUUUAAAGGGAAUAUGUGUAAAUUUCUUUGCUAGAUGUAUACACAUAAUAUAGCAGAGUAAUUUUCCUGUUAAAAGUACCAGAAAACCUGAUGAAAAUUCAGUGUAUUAGUUAAUUUAUCUUGUAUGAGUCACAAAAUAUUCAUUCAAAUACCUUUUUUCUACUAGUGGCUUUAUAUGUUUGAUAAGCUACACAGGAUGUCAGAGUUUUCUGUGUAAGAAACUAAGCAAAGAUUUUUAUAGCAGGACUUUAAUGAAAUACAAAAUGGAAAUGAAUACAUUGAUGUAUAAGUAUUGCAUAUGUAUAUGUGUGUAUUCCUCCCUGAUAGUGUAAACUUUUUUAGCACCUAUAAGAUUAAUAAAGUGCAGGAAGACAUUUAUUAUUCAUUAGCUUAUUUACUCAUUAAUUCAACAAGUACUUGUUGAGCAUCUACUCAACCUGUGUCAGGUGUAGUUUCGGUGCAGAGAAUAUAGCAGCAAAGAGACACUGUUACUGAUUUCAUAAAACUUAUAUUCUAGUGGAGAAGGACAUAAGUAAACAGGCAAAUGAAUUAUAUAACUUUAGGUGUGUCAAGAAACAAAAUUACAACAAAUUUAGUUAAAGAUUGAGUUGCCUUUUAUUCACAAUUCAUGAAUUGAAGUAGCCUCCAUUUUGCUAAAUAGAAUGAGAGCAUCCACUGGGAAAUGGCUGAAGCGUGGUUUUUUUUGUUAAGAGGUAACAAGGAAGCAAAAUAGAAAAAAAAGCUGAUUGGUUAGCAUCAGCUUACUUUAGCUUACUUAUAGGCAUUAAAGCAGAGGGAACUUCUUUAUUAUGCUGACUCAGGUACAGUGGGCACUCUGAUGGGUUGUUGGGAAUCUUCUAUUUUCAAGAAAAAUUGGUGAGUUUGGGAAUCUACCUGGUAAUUUAAUGUUUCAAUUUGAUUAUGUGUCACUUAGCAUGAGUGCCUCCAUUUUGGUUUAGUAUGAUCUGUUAGGGUCUAGUUCAGGAGCUCAGUCUAAAACAAAUGCUUCCCAUAAAUUAUUUUUAUCAAGUGCUGAUAAUUUUCUGAAAAAACAAACUGUUUUUUCUUCUAUACUCACACACUUCUAUGCUUCACCUUAGAUCACCAAAAUGUGUGAUGUAUUUUCCCCCACACCAGUCAAUUCUCUAACACCAGUUGGUGGUCCUACAAUUCAAUUCAAUUCUAACACUAUCUUCCUGGAAUUACCAUCAGAUCUUACAAGUAAAAGGGCUCAGUCCCACAAGACUGGACCCACUUUAGAUGCCAGUCACAAGUCAGGGUCUCCUAUGCUUCUGACCAACUGGCUACAAAUUGGGGGUUCCCACAACCAUACUUCGGGUUUAAUAAUCUGCUAGAAUGGCUUACAGAACUCAGGAAAACACUUUACUCAUGUUUGUCAGCUUAUUAUAACAGAUAUUUUAAAGAAUCCAGAGGAACAGCUCGAUGAAGGGGUACAUAGGGUAAGGUCUGGAGGGGUCCCCAGCACAGGGGUAUGAGUCCCUGUGGAGGUGGGGAGCGCCACUCUCCAAGAAUGUGGAUACCUUCACCAAUCCAAAAGCUCAUCAAAUCUCUUUGUUCAAGAAUUUUACAGCUUUACCACCAGCAGCUUUCUGGGAAGUAAGUGAAUAGGGAUAAAAAGUAUAGGAUUCUGAUCACUUCACUUGUCUUUCUGGUGAGCAGCCCCAAUCUGAUGCUCUCUAUGGGCCCCAUCCUAAGCCACCUCAUUAGCAAAACGUCAUGUGUGAUCCAGAGGGCUUCAUGAUGAAUAACAAAAGACAAUCCUGUGACUCAGGAAAUUCCAAGGGUUUCAGAACCUUAAUGCCUGAAACUGGAGACAAAAACCAAAUAUAUUUCUUAUUAUACCACAAAUUUCAAUGAGGAAAAAUAAGUUAGGUAAAAAAAAUGAGACAUGAAAUAAAUUGUGUUAACUAUGUGGUUUUGCUGCUUAGAUGUCUUCUUAUGAGGGGUUGAGGUGAAAUUACUCAGGGUUUGCAGUAAUAUCUUAGAGAGUUCUAUAGUGGCCUAAAAAGCCAGGUCCUAAGACAGAGGACAUUGAAACAUAAGGAAAAAAA